rnacentral:rRNA from 1 species
UACGUAGGGUGCGAGCGUUGUCCGGAAUUAUUGGGCGUAAAGGGCUCGUAGGCGGUUUGUCGCGUCGGGAGUGAAAACUCAGGGCUUAACCCUGAGCCUGCUUCCGAUACUGCGUGACUAGAGGUAGGUAGGGGAGAUCGGAAUUCCUGGUGUAGCGGUGAAAUGCGCAGAUAUCAGGAGGAACACCGGUGGCGAAGGCGGAUCUCUGGGCCUUACCUGACGCUCGAGGCGCGAAAGCUAGGGGAGCGAACAGG